rnacentral:rRNA from 1 species
UCAAUAUGGAGCCUAGAGUAGCGUAAGGGUGCGUAACACGUAUGCAAUCUGCCCGCAACAGGAGGAUAGCUCAGGGAAACUUGAAUUAACCCUCCAUAAGGUCACUUGAGGGCAUCUGAGAGUGAUUAAAUCUGAGGAGGUUGCGGAUGAGCAUGCGCAUGAUUAGCUAGUUGGUGAGGUAACGGCUCACCAAGGCGAUGAUCAUUAGGGGAACUGAGAGGUUGAUCCCCCACACUGGCACUGAGAUACGGGCCAGACUCCUACGGGAGGCAGCAGUAGGGAAUAUUGGACAAUGGGUGGAAGCCUGAUCCAGCCAUGCCGCGUGCAGGAAGACGGCCUUCUGGGUUGUAAACUGCUUUUAUCUGGGGAUAAAAUUCCCAUGCGUGGGACACUGAAGGUACCAGAUGAAUAAGCCACGGCUAACUACGUGCCAGCAGCCGCGGUAAUACGUAGGUGGCGAGCGUUGUCCGGAUUCAUUGGGUUUAAAGGGUGCGUAGGCGGCCGAGUAAGUCAGUAGUGAAAUAUCGCAGCUUAACUGUGAGGGUGCUAUUGAUACUGCAUGGCUAGAGGGCAGACGAGGCAGGCGGAAUUGACGGUGUAGCGGUGAAAUGCUUAGAUAUCGUCAAGAACACCGAUAGUGUAGACAGCUUGCCAGAGUGCCACUGACGCUGAGGCACGAAAGUGUGGGGAUCAAACAGGAUUAGAUACCCUGGUAGUCCACACUGUAAACGAUGAUGACUCGAUGUUGGCGAUAUACAGUCAGCGUCCAAGAGAAAUCGUUAAGUCAUCC